CCUUAGUACUGCGAGUGAAGAGGGAAAAGCUCAAAUUUAAAAUCUGAUGGUUGCUUUUUUUUUUGUUGACCGUCCGAGUUGUAAAUUAGAGAAGUGUUAUCCGUGCUGGACCGUGCAAAAGUCUCUUGGAAUGGAGCAUCAUAGAGGGUGACAAUCCCGUCUUUGGCACGGACUACCAGGGCAUUUGUGAUGCGCUCUCGAAGAGUCGAGUUGUUUGGGAAUGCAGCUCUAAACGGGUGGUAAAUUCCAUCUAAAGCUAAAUAUUGGCGAGAGACCGAUAGCGCACAAGUACCGUGAGGGAAAGAUGAAAAGGACUUUGAAAAGAGAGUUAAACAGUACGUGAAAUUGUUGAAAGGGAAACGCUUGAAGUCAGUUCAUGUCCUUCAGAAAUCAACUUGACCCUGUUGGAUUGAGUGCACUUUCUGUUGUGACGGGUCAGCAUCAAUUUUGACCGCCGGAGAAGGGCUUGGGGAAAGUGACAUCCUUUGUUGAUGUGUUAUAGACCCGGGUACAUACACGGUGGUUGGGAUUGAGGAACGCAGCGCGUUGACUGGGGCGAUUUCUGCCCACACUUAUGCGCUUAGGAUGCUGGCUUAAUGGCUUUAAUUGACCCGUCUUGAAACACGGACCAAGGAGUCUAACAUGCAUGCGAGUGUUUGGGUGGCAAACCCUUGCGCGUAAUGAAAGUGAAAGUUGAGAACCCUUUGACAGGGGUGCACUGACGCCCAGACCUGACCUUUUGUGAAGGACCUGCGGUGGAGCAUGUAUGUUGGGACCCGAAAGAUGGUGAACUAUGCCUGAAUAGGGUGAAGCCAGAGGAAACUCUGGUGGAGGCUCGUAGCGAUUCUGACGUGCAAAUCGAUCGUCGAAUUUGGGUAUAGGG
rnacentral:rRNA from 1 species